UAUCUGAACCUUCGGGGGACGAUAACGGCGUCGAGCGGCGGACGGGUGAGUAAUGCCUAGGAAAUUGCCCUGAUGUGGGGGAUAACCAUUGGAAACGAUGGCUAAUACCGCAUGAUGCCUACGGGCCAAAGAGGGGGACCUUCGGGCCUCUCGCGUCAGGAUAUGCCUAGGUGGGAUUAGCUAGUUGGUGAGGUAAGGGCUCACCAAGGCGACGAUCCCUAGCUGGUCUGAGAGGAUGAUCAGCCACACUGGAACUGAGACACGGUCCAGACUCCUACGGGAGGCAGCAGUGGGGAAUAUUGCACAAUGGGCGCAAGCCUGAUGCAGCCAUGCCGCGUGUAUGAAGAAGGCCUUCGGGUUGUAAAGUACUUUCAGUCGUGAGGAAGGUGGUAGCGUUAAUAGCGCUAUCGUUUGACGUUAGCGACAGAAGAAGCACCGGCUAACUCCGUGCCAGCAGCCGCGGUAAUACGGAGGGUGCGAGCGUUAAUCGGAAUUACUGGGCGUAAAGCGCAUGCAGGUGGUUUGUUAAGUCAGAUGUGAAAGCCCGGGGCUCAACCUCGGAAUAGCAUUUGAAACUGGCAGACUAGAGUACUGUAG
rnacentral:rRNA from 1 species